rnacentral:rRNA from 1 species
UACGAAGGUCCCAAGCGUUAUCCGGAUUUAUUGGGUUUAAAGGGUGCGUAGGCGGGUUAUUAAGUCAGUGGUGAAAGCCUUCAGCUUAACUGAAGAACUGCCAUUGAUACUGAUGAUCUUGAGUAUGAUUGAGGUGGGCGGAAUGUGCCAUGUAGCGGUGAAAUGCUUAGAUAUGACACAGAACACCGAUUGCGAAGGCAGCUCACUAAGUCAUAACUGACGCUGAUGCACGAAAGCGUGGGGAGCAAACAGG